UUUCGUGAUGAUCCAAAAUUUAUAAGCAUAGUUCAACUGAAGAUCUCCGGAUCCUGAACGACAAAACAUUUCCAUCUUUCAUUUUUCCUGAGC
rfam:Ajellomyces capsulatus NAm1 scaffold_1 genomic scaffold, whole genome shotgun sequence.